rnacentral:rRNA from 1 species
UACGUAGGGGGCAAGCGUUGUCCGGAUUUAUUGGGCGUAAAGAGCGUGUAGGCGGCCAUUCAGGUCAGCUGUGAAAACUCGAGGCUCAACCUCGAGACGUCGGUUGAAACCGUUUGGCUAGAGUCCGGAAGAGGAGAGUGGAAAUUCCCGGUGUAGCGGUGAAAUGCGCAGAUAUCGGGAAGAACACCCGUGGCGAAGGCGGCUCUCUGGGACGGUACUGGACGCUGAGACGCGAAAGCGUGGGGAGCGAACAGG